AAAGCUUAGGAGCAGCAUAAUCUAUUGCAGCAUCUCUGCUCUGAGUGUUUUAUCAGUAGCUGCCACGUGCUCUUUGUGAAUGAGUCUUUGCUGGCAACUGUGCAGCCUCUGAAUGUGUCCAUCAGGAAAAGUGCAGCUGGCUCAUCCAUCUCCUUACACUCCUUCAGCUGUGUCCACGGUGUGCCUGCCAAAUGAGAGCAUUCCCACCCAAAGCUGGAGCCUCUGGAGAGACACAGCCCUGCCUCGCUUUUGGGGCUUUGGAAAGCGCUGCCUGCUCAAGGUGAGGUCUGGGCAGUGUCUUUGUUCUUAAUGUGCCCGUGGUGACCAAGCUCUUGUUGUCACUAUGAGAAAGGAUUCAGACCCUAUGGAUUGGUUGCAGCAAAUUAUGAUUCUUUUUCCUUGCUGGAGUUUUUCAGUUCUGUUGAAUGUGUAAUUCCAGCUAUGGCAACAAGAGUAGAAAUAAAUUCUACUUUGGCGUCUUUGACGGCAGUCCCUGACCUGGCUGAGCUCAGGGCUGAGGAGAAGGCACAGCGUGUGUAUGUCAGUGUGCUUUCAGAUGCCAGCAACAAGGCAAAAGAGGCCUCAACAUCACUGACUCUCGAAGAAAACAAGAAAUUUGGGAAUUCCUUGAGAUCUGCAACGAUGCCCUCGCUGGGAUCCAGGCCGAGACUUUUCCCAAAGCCUUUCUGUAAAGAGAAAUCCUCGGAUACUUUUACAAAUGUCAAACCGCCUGUCCCAGCGUUCAGAUCCAGCAGCAUGGUGAGAAAGAGCACUGAGGAAACGUCCUCUGUGAAGCUGUCGAGUGGGAAUGUCCCUCCUUUGCUGGAUCAGAAAGCCAUUGACACUGAAAAUCAGGCUGACAGUGACAUGGUGACAAACGUGACUUUUUACACAGGGCCCAGUGCCAACACGGUGAUUCUGUUUGAGCCAGCGUGUCCCGAGCAGGCCAAGGUCAGCCUGGCCCAGGAGAAAAGGGGAUUUACUGCUCUGCAAAGCAAGGACCUCCAGGGCUCUGGGAGACCAGCAGAGACACCCAGCAAUCCUGUUGGCUCUCUCCACAGGCAGAUGUCCUUUUCCUCCAGUCUCAGACCAAACUCCCUCAAAAUCAGUGAAAAGAAAGAUGCUCGUGAAGUUCAUCCAGGGGAGAAAAACAACGAUGAUGCAAAUAAUCUCAACAAUAAAGUUGAUUUCUCUGUUGAUGUCCAGCAAAGGGCAAAACAUAGGCCAGUGUCUGCUAUUUUUCUGGAAUCAUUACGAGAUCAAAAGCAUCACGCUGUGGAAGCUUCUGAGGAAAAAUCUCCUGCUGAGAAAUCUGGGGUUAGAAAACCAAGGCCUUUGUCCAUGGACCUGACAGCUAAGUUUGAACAUAAAGAUCUUUCUUCUUGCAAGAAGGCUGGUUCAUCCCACGAAAGCAAGGAGAAUGUGUCCAUAAUUGCUUUUACUGAUGUGGGUAGUCAUGAUCAGUCUGAAACAGGGCCAAAACAUGAACAAACUGAAUUUAAUAAAAGCAGUUCUUCUAAAACAAAUCUGAAAUGCAGUAGUCAGGACAUUGGCAUCCUAAAUAAUGGGAAAUACAGCUGGGAAACAAAACUUAAAUCUAAAAGUGAACAAAUUGAGACAAAACCAGAAAUAAUUAUUAACUUGCAUGGUCCUGAAAGAAGUCCUGAAACAACCAGUGAAAGCAGAACUAAUAAGGGGGGGAAAAGAUCAGAUCAGAAGGACCAAUACAAGUUCCAGGGCUGUGAAAGUCCUGCAGCUUCCUCAGAAAAAGAGAAUAAUAUCUUAAGAGGUAGUGUUAAAAAACAUAUUAGUUUGUUUACUUUGGAAAAUCCCAGUGCCACAGUGGAUACAGAGCUUCUCCCAGCAGCUGCUGAGAAGGAGAACAGGUGUGUGACCAUCCAGCAGAGGAUCAAGGAGCUGACAACAGAAAAUCCUGAUGUAAAGGGAGGAAAUCUGCGCCGCUCGCUGCAGUCACGGCCACUCUCUGCAGACUUAACCAAGAUGUUUUCAAGUCCAACGUCAGGGGGUGAAGCAAAGCCUGAAAAACCUGGGGAGGCUGGAGCUGACUCGAUCCAUGACCUGCAGGAAAAUCCAAAAAGCAAGGAGCUGAAGCUCACCCAUGGCACAGAUCUCACAGAGGCAUUUUCUCCUGGGAAGUCUUGGAAAUCCCGGCAGGUUUUGAAGAUAACCAAUAAACCUGAUCAGCUGGAGAGGAAAGGAAGCUUCCUGGGAGACGGUCAGCAUUUCUCACAGCAGAGUGAGAGUUCUGUCUCAUUCACAAGUAACUUUGAAAAGAAAUUAAACCCAGCACUUCUGGAAAAGCCUUUCAUUAAAACUGUCCGAGCCACCCUGUUUGAGCACAAUGUCCAGAAGCACAACGUUGUUGCUGAGCAUUCUGGGGCUGAUCCUGCAGCAAAAAGGAAUCAGGAGCCUGAGGCAAAGCAGGACCUGAUGGUUUUAGGGCACAGCAGGCGCUCCUGGAUGGGAGAAGGGGAGGAAACCACUCCUCCAAAGGAGCAUCACAAGCAACCUGAUCCAUCAAAACAUCCAGCACAUGUAGAGAAAAGUCCAAAACCUGCUUGUUUAAGUGAAGACAAGAAAAUUAUCUUAGAAAAAUCUUUGAUUGAGAAAAAUGAAAAACCCACUCCCAAGAGUGCAGAAGAUUCUCAAAUUUACCAAAGAAUAGAGCCCAGGUAUGAAAUCUUUCAGACAUGUGGUGAAAGGGCUCUUAGUGAAGCCAUCACAAUGACUCCUGAGAAAAAGGCCAUGACACUCAGAGCUAGAAAAUCAUCUGUGAAAGAGAAUAAAACUGAUGAGGACGUUGUACACACAGGGCAGUCAGUUAAGGCAAGUAGUCACACUCUUUACUUGAAAGAAGAUGAUGUUACUUCAGAAGCCAGAGAGGCAAAAGUUCUCACAAGCAAGGCUGUGUUGAGAGAACCUGCUGGUUUUCUCUCCAGUGAAUGCACUUUACCUGAACAGAAAAGAGACUCUGAUAAAACUGAUCCCGAGCCACUGUUCAUAUCUGAGAAAAUACCUUAUUCCACGAACAAAAGUAAAGGUUUGGGAAUGGGUGAAAAAGUCAACAAGCUACAUGCUGAAAUUAAAGGUGAUAAAAGUGAAGUCUCUCCUGUAGAGAAAUCAGAGAAGAUUAAUGUUGUGAAAUGCUCUUCUGAGAAAAGGAAUUUCAGGGCAGGUGGGACAGACAUCCAUGAAUUCCGAACCAACCUGGAUCGUGAGGUGAUUUCCACAAGUGUCAAUAAACACGGGGCUCAGGCUUCAGUGCUUGCAAUUGGGCAGUAUUUUAAAUCUUCCAGUAGCCACACCCCUGAUACAAAAGGACUGAACGUUACUAAAGAGGAAUCUGGGGCUUUUGGGUUGAGGAAAAGUCUGGACUUAAAUUGCAAAGAGCAAGAUUUUAGCUUGGCUUGUACAGCUCCUGAAAACAGCGAGAAACUCCGAGGAGCAGCAGAUCCAGAAGAAAAAGUCAGGAGAAGCAGAAGUAGCGUUUCUGACUUGAGCAUUUCUGAAAGGUGGAAGAGGAGGACCUUGCCUCAGGAGUCACUCAAGGUAGAGGAAGUUGUGUGGCUCACUCCUGAAAAUAUCAAGAAGCUGAGCCGGGCAGAUUCAUUGCAAUUGAAUGAAAGUUCACUUAAAAAGAGAAGCAAAAAAAUUAAAGAUGAGGUGGAAGGGAGUGAGGCAAACCAAGCUGUUCUUGGCAGUCCUGAUGAUUACAUGAAACAUCAGAGUUCUGUCUUUGAGCCAAAGGCAACUUAUUUUGCAGUGACUUAUCAGGUUCCUGGUAUCAAAAAAGAGAAAAGCUUUGUUGGUGCUCCCAGUGCAAGUGAAAUUAAUACUGUUCCUGGUUCAAGCGAGGGAGCAGCAAUUAAUCUGGACCCUGUUUUUCCUGGAAGGUCCAAACCUUCAGUGCAGCAACCAAAUAAAAAUGUGACAAGUUCAUCUAGUAGAGAAGACUCCUGGGAAAUGCAUAUUAGCAAGGAGUGGGUCAAAGAAGAUGAAAAAGAUGCUGUUUUCUCCAAAAAUGUUGCAUUUGGUAAUAUUCAUGUGUCUAGGAAAGAUAACCAGCAGCAUCACGAAAAGGGCCUGGAUCAUUCUAAAGAGAAAAUUAUAGAUGUUGAUGCUUUCCUGUUAAAACAUGAUCUGGAAAAUGCAGCUCAAGCUGAUCUCAGGAGUGGCAGAAGGAAAGUCUCUUACCACGAGCCCCGGUCCCCACCACGUUCCGCGCAGGGGCGUAAGGACAGCGAGCAGGGCCCCCUGAAAAGGAGUGACAAUAAUUCUGAUUUGCCUGCAAGGAAGGCUGAGGAUGGGUACAGAUCCCAAAUUCUCGAUAUUGAUGCACUUAUGGCAGAAUAUAAAGAAGAAUCAGCAAAGGCCAGUAAAGUUCAAGAGAAGCUCUCUGAAGAUCUUGGCUCACUGACUAGGGAGAAAUCAAAGAACAAAAGAAAUGUGUCAGAUAGAAUGCCUCUUACCUACAGCUGGAACGAGUGGAAGAGUGGAUCGGACCACUAUUCAGUUAAUAACAAACCAGGUGAACGUGCAGAAGAGCAGCACAGGCCAGAGAAACUAAUCCUAAAUGAAAAGAGCAAAGAGAAACUGGAAUUACGGAGCCCUGAUUUCGAUAAGCAGAUGUCCAAAGACAGAAAGGUCAGCCCUCCUUACUGGGGAAACCCCAGCAGCAUUUUUCCUGAGAAGUUUGUAAAUUCACCCAUGGAAUUUGCUAGGAAGAAAACUUUCAUUGUUGAUGAGGGUGAGGAAGUGAACUUGACCUCCAGAAAUCAGGGUGCAAAAUUUGUAAUUGAAAAGGUACAGCCCAUAAAUGCAGUGAGCACAGAGCAGAGGCUGGAAGUCAACCUGGCCUCCAAGUUGUCCCUAAAGGCUGAUGAUGGACUCUUGCAGAAGAAGUUGGUGACAAAAGAGGUACCUCCAGAAAGUGACUGGAGCAAAAACAUAGUGAGGAGCUCUACACUGAGAAGCAAAGACAGCGCAAAUAAAAUGUGUGAGGGUGACUCUUCCAAAAGUAAGAGCGAUUGGAGGAGCUGCAUGUCCGGGUUUGGGACUGUCCCCGCGGAUCUCAGACGAUCCUACUCGGAGAAAUGCCGCCAGGGGAGGGACAGCCUGCCCCUCCUGCAGGAGAUGAGGGCGAGGAAGGAGCUGCAUCGAUCCAGGCCAAGCUUCCCCUUGGAAAGUGGAGAGAACUCGUGGAAACACAAGGUGUCAGCUCACUCAGAUCCAUUCUUCCACGAGGAUAAAAAGACUCCCAGGAAAGAGUGGAGCAAGCAGAGCUCAGACAAAACAGAGGGAACAGACUUUUCCUCAUUGUCUACACAGAGGAGCCACCACAGUUUCUACAAGGAGAGAAGAGCAGAUUUUGGGAUGGACCAGCUGAGGCAAUGCUUCUCCAGGCAGCCUGCAGGGGCGAAGGACACGGACACGCUGGUGCAGGAGCCCGACAGCCAGUACGGCACCUGGAACGAGCCGCGGCACAGCGGGGACAGCUUUGUGGGAGAAUCUCCUUCCCUGGACAAUGAGGUGGUGUCAGGUCGGAAGCAGCCCCCGGGCAGCCACCCAUCCUCGCUGUCCUCGCAGACAGAGCCUCCCUCCCUGGCUGAGCACCAUGACUUCUCCAAAGACCAAAGGAGCACCAGCCUGGACCGUUCCAGCACUGACAUGGACUCCACUGAUGGCACUGAUUUGCCUCCUGCAGGGGACACACUCCCUGAGGACAAGAGCAGUUAUUUCUCCUUCAUUGAUCACACGGCUGUCCUGGACUCCAGUGCUCUGAAAACUCGGGUGCAGCUGAGCAAGAAGCGCCGGCGCCGGGCGCCCGCAUCCCACUCGCUGCGCAGGAGCAGAGGGCUGGACCUGGAGAACAGGUUUUCCUUGACAGAAGAGACAGAAAAUGGCUGGAUGUUCAAAGAUUCCACAGAAGAGAAGAAAACUAUGCAACAGGAAGAUUCUGAGGAGGAAGACAAGAUCCAGCACACUCCAAGGUCAUCUUCUGUGCAAGCCCAGAGACUGCCCGUGUUCCCAGGGAUGGAUCACUCUGUCCUCAAGGCCCACCUGCGGAAAAGGCAGGAGUCUGAGAGCACUGGUGACAUCGGCUCUGCUCAGCUCUUCAAAUCCCCCAAAGCACAGCUCGGCACUCCCAGCAGCAGAGUGCUGCCCUCCAGUGUGGAAAAGGAGGACAGGUCAGAAGAAAAGUCUCCUCAGUGGCUGAAGGAGCUGAAAUCAAAGAAGAGACAGAGCCAUUAUGAGAAUCAGGUUUGAAAAGACAGUGAUUCUGACUAGGAGAAGAUAAAGAAGUUUAACAGAAGCCUUAACUCAUCUGAACCUAAACCCCCAUGUCAUGUUGCUGCUGUUUGCUUCCUGCCUCAACUGCUCUGUGCAUGGUGCCUUCCUGUUUUGUGGAGAAAAGCUGCUUCAGUUCAUAGUCAAAUACAAAGCUGUGUCUGUCAGGGCAGGGGGACAGUGGCACAUCAGACCUGCUUGCCAGGAGAACCCCCCUGGGUCACGGUUAGCACUUGAGAAAGUCUUGGAAAACAGAAAUAUUUGGGAGUGCUGUGAUCCAGGGAACUCCCCUCGCUGUGGAACAGACUCUGUAGGUGUUCACCUCUGGGAGAUGUGUCUGGCUGGGCUUUGUGUUUGUUUAUGAAAAUAAUAAUUUUAAUCAAAAUUAUCUUUUUUUUUCUUUUUUUUUUUUUUGUGAACAAAUAGUAAGCUCCUAUUUAGAAUGAAAUUUGUGGAAGGUGAGAGUGGAAGAACAAAUUAUGUUUACUGCCAUAUUGAAAAAGGAAACUUGAUUAUUUUUUGUAAAAUGUAUUUUUGAUUGGCUUGUAUUUACAUGUGAUCUGCUGACCUGGCAGAUGGAGAUAAUUUUUAGAUGAACAAAAUGUUAACUUUUGUCACUCUUGAAGUGGUAUAUUCUGUGUUUUGUCAGCAUGUGGAAUAAUUGCUUCAUUGGAAUGUCUUUCCUUAAAAGGAUCAAGCAAUAAUGUCAAUCAGUUCUCUUUAAAAAACAAAAAAAAAGUAGAAAUAUGUAAAUACUGUUUUUAUAACAAAAAAGUAAGGGAAGAGGGAGGAUGUUACACUCAUAUCAGGGCUCCAGUUAAUUGUUGAAUGUCACUUUAAUAACAGUUCAGAUAGUCCCACUUCAUAUUUUUAUUUGUUAAUCUGUAAAUACCAGGUUUAAGUUUUUAUUUUUAUGCUGAUUUUGUGGGAUAACCUAAAUGUGAUCUUCAGUUUCUCAGAUGAUUUCCUGUCUUUCCUUUGGUGAGUUGUGCUGACAGCAGAGUAGAGAUCUCCUGGACCACACAGGUGUUUGGGUAUCCCUAAUUCUCAGCUAUUCCCUGUCUCUGCCCACUCAUUCUGCACCACCAACCACCAUGGCCAUGGAAGCCAGACUCAGCUCUUGCCCCAGAUAAGUGCUCUUUCAGUAACUUUAAAAGCAUAGCCCAGGGAGGGAGGUGGUUCCAAGUGUUCUCAGGCUCAACCAGGAAGAGGGAAAAGGAGAGUGGAGAGCUCUCCUCAGCUGGCAGAGCUCCUUGGGCCUCACUCCCCAUGUCCUGCUGAGGGCUCCUCUGCAUACAAACCAUAAAGCACCAGCACUUCAGCUCCUUUUCCUUUUGUCUCUUUUCCCAAUCAGUGUUUUGGGAGCACAGCUCCCAUGGGGCCUGCCCAGGUCUCUGUCUGUCAGGCUUGGAGCUGCCAAAACCAUGUGCCAAUUCACCUCAUGGAGGAGUCACAGGAGGGGGAUUUGCAGUCCCAGGGUGCAGGAAAUAGCAGCAGGAUGGCAGGAGACAAAUCCCAUCUGCACAUCUCCCGCUCCCGGAUUUUAUUCUGGUGGCAUCUCCCUGGAGAUGAGAUGGGGAAAUCUGUCUGAUGUAAAAGUCUUCUCCCUGUUGCUUUGCCCUGUUUCUCGUGGCAGUGUUGCCAGUGUUAGUCUGGCAGCCCCUCUGCUCCCCACAGAGCAGUGAUCCCCAGCAUUCUGAAUUUGGGGAAUUUGGGGAUGGGCCCUGUCAGUGCAGCCACCACCAUUGACCAGCUCCUUUUCAAACCUUGCACAGAUUUCCUUCCCUCUCCAUUAGAUGAUGGUGGAAAAGGUGUUUUUUUGGGGUAUAUUGCUGUGGCACCCAGGGUUCCAUGGGUGACACUCACCUGGGCCAGCCUGAGCAGCACGUGCAGGUGAGGAGGAUGAUGGAGGCAAGUCCCUGCUCCCAGGAACAUUCACACAGGCUGGGUUUGCCACUUGCACAGGUGACAGUGUUGUGUUCCCAACAGUUGGAGGAUUUACUGGCUCUUGGUCUAGGCCAGAGAUUCUGUAACUGUUUGUGUUGAGGAAACUGAGGGGAUUGACACGAGGUUUCCACAAAGCCCUUGAAUGUGUUUGCAUUUCCACAUCUGCUUGGACAAUGCACUGAAAUUACUGUAUUGAGUAGUUCAACCUACUACUGAGAAAUGUUUAAUGCUUAAAUGUCUAAUUAAAGAGCAUCUUUAGAAUGUUG